CCUCCGGGUGGCUGCAGUGGGGGAUAUUGCACAAUGGGGGGAACCCUGAUGCAGCGACGCCGCGUGAGGGAAGACGGCCUUCGGGUUGUAAACCUCUGUCGCAGGGGACGAAGGAGCUGAUGGUACCUGGCCAAGAAGCCCCGGCUAACUACGUGCCAGCAGCCGCGGUAAUACGUAGGGGGCAAGCGUUAUCCGGAUUUACUGGGGGUAAAGGGGGCGCAGACGGCAAUGCAAGCCAGGAGUGAAAGCCCGGGGCCCAACCCCGGGACUGCUCUUGGAACUGCAUGGCUGGAGUACAGGAGGGGCAGGCGGAAUUCCUAGUGUAGCGGUGAAAUGCGUAGAUAUUAGGAGGAACACCGGUGGCGAAGGCGGCCUGCUGGACUGUGACUGACGUUGAGGCCCGAAGGCGUGGGGAGCAAACAGGAUUAGAUACCCUUGUAGUC
rnacentral:rRNA from 1 species